rnacentral:tRNA from 1 species
GGGCAGUUAGCUCAGUCGGUUGAGCAUGAUGCUGACAAGACCAAGGUCGCAGGUUCAGUUCCCGUUCGGUCCC